GUAAAAGAUUUAAAGGCACAAAGGCCCAUUAAUCACAUUCUACAAACAUACAUUAGGGUAUAUGAAGAAACAUAGACCUGAAAAAAUAAGAAGAGACAAGAAGUCAAUUCUCAAUCCUGAGUGCUAUAAAGCAUUCAGAGAGAUAUUCAGGUCUACAAAAGGUGCACAGGUGAAGAUACAAAGAUGACAAGUGUGCACAUGCUCCCUAGAGAACCAGCAGCAACUUAUCAGAUUUAUUUCAAUAAUGAUCCUUCCGCAGGUUCACCUACGGAAA
rnacentral:misc_RNA from 1 species